UCUAUUAGCUAGUUAUAACAUAUUCAACUAUAUGGUGACUAUACUGUAAACUAGAUACUCAAUAUACUAACAUAUAAAAUAAUUAAUAUACUAAAUAUUAGGGUAAAUUACAGUUUAGCCCCCCAAAUUACCAUCCGUUUUGCGGAUAGCCCCCUAAACUGCCAACACUCCGACUCUGGCCCCCCAAACUGCCAACGACUCCCAAAAUGGCCACUCCGUUAGCUCUUCCCGUCAGAAUGGAUGGAAAACACAUCACGUGCACGGCACGUGAUAUUUUAGGACUCAAACCACCGAAAAUGCCCCUGUCCUCAGAGUUUGAAUUACGAAAUUAUCCUUGUAAACAAAACAAGCGCUUACCCUUGUACAGAGUGGUAUUUGGUAAAAUGAUUUUACGAAAAUGCCAUUCAGGUAAAUAGAUCGGCAUUUCGUUUUUAACCUAGAACCAUUUUACACCUAGAAGUAUCCGGAGCUGCUGUUCGAGUGUGGGUGUUUAGGGUUCGGCCGAAAUAUUCGCCGGAGUGUGGGUGCUGUUGUGCUAGCCGAAAUCGUCUCCGGUAAAAACCCAAAAUCGUGGACAUGGCGUGCAGUGAUUUUAGCCCUCUUUCGUGAAAAAACCAACCUAAAAUCUUCGCCGGAGUGUGGGUCUUCGUCGGAGUGUGAGUGCUGUUGUGCUAGCCGAAAAUUGUCUCUGGUAAAAACCCAAAAUCGUGUACUUGUUGUGGUGUGAUUUUAGCCCUCUUUCGUGAAAUACCCAAAAUCGUGUGGGUUGCGUCGCCUCGCCGAAGUUGAAUCGCCUUGCCGGAGCUACCUUAGGUCGCCUUGUCGAAGUAAGUUCCCCUACUUUGCUGGAUUUCCGCUGCAGUGCUUGGUUGGAGAAGAAGGUGGUUUUUCCGUCACCAAAGAUGGUUGUACAAGAACUUGUUUUCGAGGUGCAUUUUGGUGGUCAUAUAGAUAGGCGGCUUAUGGAUUCAUAUGUGGGUGGGGAUGUUGAUGUGUUCAAGGAAGUCAUUGUGGAGGAUAAGAAGUCAUUGCCGGGUAGUACUAUUCGAAAUGGUUGACAUUAAUUACAUCAAACCAUGAUGUAAUUGAAAUGGUUAAACUCCACCAAGGUCUGUCAAUUGUAGAGUUGUACAUUGUUUCAUUUAAUGAGCCUUUACCCAACAGUGAGUAUGAAUACGAUGAUGAUGAUGGUGAUGAUGGGGGGUAUUUUAGGAUCGAGAGAGAUGAUCCGUAUUGGGAUGAGGUAUAUGAACCGGAUCUUUUUGUUGAAAAUAAUGAUAUUCCUGAGACUUCCAUGGGGGGUGGCAUGGGAGCUGGUCAACAUGUUAGUGGGGGGGCAUGAGAGAGGGUGAAGAUGUCCCGGGGGAGGGCAAUGUAGACAAUGAGGAUGGUGAGGAAGGUGAGGAAAGUGAGGAGAGUGAGGAGAGUGAAGAUGGUGUUGAGGAUAAUGAUGAUGACGAUGAUGCCAACUCAGACAUGGCGCGCAGUGAUAUUCUAAUAUCUCCUCCCAACAGUGACGAGGAGGAAGAGGUAGCACCUCAGAGUAAGUAUGUUACAAAGUCAUCUGAGUUCCAGAUGGCUGACUUGGGGCACCCAGAGUUCGUGGUGGGUCAGAAAUUCUCAUCCAUUAAAAUUUUUAGAACGGCUGUUAGGGAAUGUAAUUUAAAUAUGGGGAAGGAUAUUAAAUUCAAGAAGAAUUACCUCGCGAAGUGUAUAGUUGUAUGUAGGGAUCCAAAAUGUAAGUAUAGGUUGUAUGGUCGCAAAUGCAAGGAGGAAGAAUCGUUUGAAAUACGAUCAUUCCAGCCUAAACACACUUGCCGGAGGAAUCAUAAGAAUUCGAUUGUAAAAUCGUCAUGGAUUGCAGAUAAACUGAUUGACAAGUUCAGGGCACAACCUAACAUGCCUGUAAAGGCAAUCUUAGGGGAGGUGAAGGAUCGUUGGGGUGUGGAUGUAAAAAAAAACAGAUUGUAUAGAGCGAGAGUACUUGCAAAAGAGAUGAUUCGUGGGAAAGUAAAUCUUCAAUACCAGAAGCUUUGGGAUUACUGUGAAACAAUAAGGAGAACUAACAUUGGUAGUUGUAUAAUGAUGAAGUUGGAGAGACCUAUACCUGAUCUACCUGCAAAAUUCCAGAGAUUGUAUUUCUCAUUGUCUGCCAUGAAAAUCGGUUUUUUGUCUGGUUGUCGGCCAAUCAUUGGAUUAGAUGGAUGUUUCCUAAAAGGUCCAUACAAGGGGCAACUGUUGACUGCAGUUUCGAGGGACGCCAACAAUCAGAUGUAUCCAGUGGCCUUCGCAGUUGUAGAAGCUGAGGUAAAAAACAGUUGGACUUGGUUUCUAGAGGCUUUGUUAUCGGACCUUGGCAAUGGUCCUGCAGAAGGAUGGACGUUCAUUUCUGAUCGUCAGAAGAGUCUAGUUCCGAGUUUGGAUUUGGUUGCUCCUGGUGUUGAAUAUCGGAUUUGCGUAAGACAUUUGUACGCAAACUACAGAGACUCAGGACAUCGUGGUUUGGCGUUGAAGGACAAGCUAUGGAGCGCGGCUGCAGCCUACACUGAGGCUGAUUUUUUGAGGGAAAUGGAUGAAUUAAAGGGGAUAAGUCCGGAUGCGUACGAUUACUUGUCGAAGGUGGAUCCAAGUACGUGGUCUAGAGCUUGGUUUAGCACAUUCACCAAAUGUGAUUUGAUUGUGAACAAUCUAUCAGAGUGCUUCAAUGCCUGGAUUUUGAAGUCGCGUGAUUUGCCAAUCAUAUCGAUGAUGGAGAUGUUGAGGAAGAAAUUGAUGAAAAGAUACCAGAAGAAGAGAUAAGGCAUCAGUACCAUGGAAGGUCGGAUUUGUCCAAAAAUAAGGGCACGGUUAGAUGAAUGCGGGCAGGAUGCUGGUCACUGCUACUGCACAUACGCUGGGGAUGGAUUGUUUGAAGUCACACACAUGGAGAAACAAUAUGUGGUGAACCUAGUGAGGAGAACAUGUGGUUGCAGACAAUGGGACAUGACCGGUAUCCCAUGUGCACAUGCAAUCUGUGCAAUUUGGAGUGAUGAUGCUGACCCUCUUGAUUAUGUUGAUGAUUGGUAUACUGUGGACAUGCUUAAGAAGGCAUAUAAUGAGAUUGUUUAUCCAAUGCCUGGAGAAGAUCAGUGGACAAAGACAAACGGCGAGCAUGUAGACCCACUAAUGGCUAGAAUACAACCUGGGAGGCCGAGAAAAGUAAGGACAAGGGGUCCAGAUGAGCCUAAAAAUCAGUACAGGAUGAGGAAGGGUGGGGUUACUAUGAGAUGCUCCAGAUGCAGGGGGGUUGGACACAAUGCAAGGACAUGUCCCCGGAUAAGAAGAGAAGCAGUGAACUACAGAGGAGACGGCAUGAGUGCAUCUCAGGCACAAGUUGAUGAUGGUGGUCAAAGCUCCCUCUGUCAAACAUCUGAUCUCCAGUCUACAAUUGACGCUGAACCAGUGAGUUUCAAAACACACAGUUUGACCCACCAUUUACAUUGCAAUUUACACUAAUGUUGAAAACAUGUGCACAUUUUGCAACCAUCAAUUCCCCAUAAUACCCAACCUACUACUAUUGCUUCAUCUAGAGGUAUGGGUCAGAGUAGAGGUAGGGGUAAGGAUAGGAGUAUUUGUAGGGGUAGGGGUAGGGGUAGGGGUCAACCUACCCCACAAGGGAUGCCAUCUGUACGAACAAGAAGUCAGUAUGCGUCACAGAAUCAGACUCGAACCAAUUUCAUUCCUGAAGGUUAUGUGAACAAAGUAAGAUGGUAUGGACCCCAAACGAUCGGUCAGCCUUGGUCACAGCCUCAUCCUCAAACAACUGUGAUUUCUCAAGGUACUGUUAAUACAGUAAGACUAUAUGGACCUCCGCAGACAAGGAGCCAAUAUCAGUCACAGCCUCUGCCUCAUACUAAUGCUAUUUCCCAGGGUACUGUCAAUACAGUACAACAUGGCUCUUCUCAAACAUUAGGUUGUUCUCAGGCAUCGGGUUCUUCUCAGCCGGUGGGGUCUUCAUCAAGGCCGGUGACCAGAGCUAGAAAUAUUGUUCCAACAGUAGAGAAAGCAAUGGAAAUGAUUGAGGCUAAGAAGAACAAGAGAAAGAGGCCGGAUUGGAAGUGAUUGAGCAUCAAUGUUGUUUUGUUUUUAACUUAUGUGGUGUUACAUAUGCAACUGUUAACUUAUAUGGAAUAGUUUGUUGGGUUGCGGUGUGAUUUAUAUGUUGUUGGAUGACACAACAUGUUUUUUGUGCAAGUAUGUUUUGGAUAUGUUUUGCUGACAAAUAGCUAUUUUAGGGAUUGUAAUUGGAAUGGCUAUGGUACAACUAUUUUGGGGAUUGUAAGCGGAAUGGCUAUGGUGUAGGGCAAGUAUGUUUUGUUCACGAACAACUAUUUUCGGGAUUGCAAGUGGAAUGGCUAUGGUA